AGAGAGGACUGCCAGGUGUCCACGGUUCCCCAGGUGACAUAGGCCCACCAGGGUUAGGAAUUCCUGGCCGAACAGGCUCCCAAGGACCAGCUGGAGAGCCAGGUAUUCAGGGUCCUCGAGGUCUCCCUGGAUUGCCAGGAACUCCAGGGACCCCAGGGAAUGAUGGAUCUCCAGGCAGAGAUGGAAAACCAGGCCUGCCAGGCCCCCCAGGUGACCCGAUAGCACUUCCUCUCUUGGGAGACAUCGGCGCCUUACUCAAG